CGGCGUCGCCUGAGAGAUCC
rnacentral:sRNA from 1 species